rnacentral:rRNA from 1 species
GACGAACGCUGGCGGCGUGCUUAACACAUGCAAGUCGAACGAUGAACCCGGAGCUUGCUCCGGUGGAUUAGUGGCGAACGGGUGAGUAACACGUGAGUAACCUGCCCUUGACUCUGGGAUAACUGCGGGAAACUGUAGCUAAUACCGGAUACGACCCUCGGCGGCAUCGCCAGGGGGUGGAAAGUUUUUCGGUCAGGGAUGGGCCCGCGGCCUAUCAGCUUGUUGGUGAGGUAGUGGCUCACCAAGGCGACGACGGGUAGCCGGCCUGAGAGGGCGACCGGCCACACUGGGACUGAGACACGGCCCAGACUCCUACGGGAGGCAGCAGUGGGGAAUAUUGCGCAAUGGGCGAAAGCCUGACGCAGCAACGCCGCGUGAGGGAUGACGGCCUUCGGGUUGUAAACCUCUUUCAGCAGGGAAGAAGCGAAAGUGACGGUACCUGCAGAAGAAGCACCGGCUAACUACGUGCCAGCAGCCGCCGUAA